UACGGGGGGGGCAAGCGUUGUUCGGAAUUACUGGGCGUAAAGGGCUCGUAGGCGGCCAACUAAGUCAGACGUGAAAUCCCUCAGCUUAACUGGGGAACUGCGUCUGAUACUGGAUGGCUAGAGUGUGGGAGAGGGAUGCGGAAUUCCAGGUGUAGCGGUGAAAUGCGUAGAUAUCAUUUGGAACGCCAAUGGUGAAAACAGGUUGCUGGGAGUAUGCUGACGCUGAGACACGAAAGCCAGGGGAGCGAACGGG
rnacentral:rRNA from 1 species